rnacentral:rRNA from 1 species
UGGGGAAUAUUGCACAAUGGGCGAAAGCCUGAUGCAGCAACGCCGCGUGAGUGAUGAAGGUCUUCGGAUUGUAAAGCUCUGUCUUUUGGGACGAUAAUGACGGUACCAAAGGAGGAAGCCACGGCUAACUACGUGCCAGCAGCCGCGGUAAUACGUAGGUGGCGAGCGUUGUCCGGAUUUACUGGGCGUAAAGGGUGCGUAGGCGGAUGUUUAAGUGAGAUGUGAAAUACCCGGGCUUAACUUGGGUGCUGCAUUUCAAACUGGAUAUCUAGAGUGCAGGAGAGGAGAAUGGAAUUCCUAGUGUAGCGGUGAAAUGCGUAGAGAUUAGGAAGAACACCAGUGGCGAAGGCGACUCUCUGGACUGUAACUGACGCUGAGGCACGAAAGCGUGGGUAGCAAACAGGAUUAGAUACCCUGGUAGUCCACGCCGUAAACGAUGAGUACUAGGUGUAGGAGGUAUCGACCCCUUCUGUGCCGCAGUAAACACAUUAAGUACUCCGCCUGGGAAGUACGAU